GAUGAACGCUAGCGGCAGGCUUAACACAUGCAAGUCGAGGGGUAUAGCUCUUCGGAGCUAGAGACCGGCGCACGGGUGCGUAACGCGUAUGCAAUCUACCUUUUGCAGAGGGAUAGCCCAGAGAAAUUUGGAUUAAUACCCCGUGGUAUGUGAGAACGGCAUCAUGUUAACAUUAAAGUCACAACGGCAAAAGAUGGGCAUGAGUCCCAUUAGCUAGUGGGUAAGGUAACGGCUUACCAAGGCAACGAUGGGUAGGGGUCCUGAGAGGGAGUUACACCACACUGGUACUGAGACACGGACCAGACUCCGACGGGAGGCAGCAGUGAGGAAUAUUGGACAAUGGGCGCAAGCCUGAUCCAGCCAUGCCGCGUGCAGGAUGACGGUCCUAUGGAUUGUAAACUGCUUUUGUACAGGAAGAAACACUGGUUCGUGAACCAGCUUGACGGUACUGUAAGAAUAAGGAUCGGCUAACUCCGUGCCAGCAGCCGCAGUAACAC
rnacentral:rRNA from 1 species